GGGGUUAUAGCUCAGUGAUAGAGUGCAUGCUUAGCACGCAAGAGGUUCUGGGUUCAACCCCCAGUACCUCCA
rnacentral:tRNA from 1 species